rnacentral:rRNA from 1 species
UACGUAGGGGGCAAGCGUUGUCCGGAUUUAUUGGGCGUAAAGAGCGUGUAGGCGGCCAGAUAGGUCCGUUGUGAAAACUCGAGGCUCAACCUCGAGACGCCGAUGGAAACCAUCUGACUAGAGUCCGGAAGAGGAGAGUGGAAUUCCUGGUGUAGCGGUGAAAUGCGCAGAUAUCAGGAAGAACACCCGUGGCGAAGGCGGCUCUCUGGGACGGUACUGACGCUGAGACGCGAAAGCGUGGGGAGCGAACAGG